rnacentral:rRNA from 1 species
UACGUAGGGUGCAAGCGUUAAUCGGAAUCACUGGGCGUAAAGCGCACGUAGGCGGAUCUUUUAAGUCAGGGGUGAAAUCCCAAGGCUCAACCUUGGAACUGCCUUUGAUACUGGGGAUCUCGAGUCCGGAAGAGGUUGGUGGAACUGCGAGUGUAGAGGUGAAAUUCGUAGAUAUUCGCAAGAACACCAGUGGCGAAGGCGGCCAACUGGUCCGGUACUGACGCUGAGGUGCGAAAGCGUGGGGAGCAAACAGGG